GUGCGUAGAUUAUGACAUUCUAGCACCAAUGUGUAUUAAGUGCACUAUUUUUGAACGCACUUUCUUUUUGUUGCCUUGCUUGUAAGUUAAUAGAGUGUUUUUGUUCUGCUGGUGUAACGUUUGUUGAGAUUCUUCUGUGUUCCCCUGUUUAGGGGAGUUAGCUUGGGAUUGGAAGUCUACGCUGGUGACUAAAGACAGCAGUGUCAGAGUGUGUUGUGUUUUCGAACAUUAAUGUGUAUGUUGUGGGACAGCAAGGGGUAGAAUUAUUAUUUAAUUAAUAAAUUCACAGUAUUAAAAUGUUCCAAAUUCAAUGUCAUUACUCCAUUAGUUUGUCAUCAUACUUAUAUUUAUAUCAUUAAAUAUUUACAUUGUUA